rnacentral:ribozyme from 1 species
CGUAUAUAUACUCUAGCAAAAAUACAACCUAUAAACAAAAAUAAACCGAAUAGAAGAAAAAUAAAAGGAAACACCUUCUCCACUCCUUCUUCCUACUUCCUUUCCCCUUUCCUUCUUC